GGUGGUUCUUGGGUGACACACCAGAAUCGGGCUCCUUCCUCUCUGGUUCCGGGGUGUAUUACCCGGGAACCACU
rfam:Myotis brandtii contig311771, whole genome shotgun sequence.